CGCGCGCACACACACACACACACACACACACACACACACACACACACACACACACACACACACACACACACACACACACACACACACACACACACACACACACAGGCACACUUCUGUGUCCCCUCUUUCAGCACCUAUGCCCCCACUUCAACCCUCAGCCAUCUUCAGCUGCCCUUACACACACACACACACACACACACACACACACACACACACACACUCACUGAGUGGACAGACUGUGAGACUGAAGGGGCAGACUGACCCAGAGACUCUGGAGCCAUGCAGGGGGGACUAAGGGUCAGACGGAACUCGGAGGCUGAAAGGUGAACAGCAGAGAAAGACCUUGGAGAUGGAGAAUCUGUCUGUCCGUCCCCUGUCCUGUGCCCGUCCCCUGCCCAGUGUCUGCCUAGCGUCCCUCUGUCUUAUGUCCCGUACCCUCCUGUGCACAGUCCCAGUACUUUUAACACUGGGCAUCUCAGAGGAACUGCGUCCAUGCGGUGACCGUGCAGCGUACACCAUCCGGAGAGCUCCAGAGACCGACCUUACCAACAUGGCUGCCUGCUUCACAACGUGACCUCUCCAACAUGGCCGCCUGCUCCACAACGUGACCCCUCCAGCAUGGCUUCGUGCAUCACAAUGUGACCUCUGCCUGACCUGGAAGUGUCCACCAAGUGACCGAGACAGACAGGCAAUGCCUGCAUACCACACAUGCUGCACUCCACCCACACCACUGCAACUCCACCCACACCACUGCAACUCCACCCACACAUGCUGCACUCCACCCACACCACUGCAACUCCACCCACACCACUGCAACUCCACCCACACAUGCUGCACUCCACCCACACCACUGCAACUCCACCCACACAUGCUGCACUCCACCCACACCACUGCAACUCCACCCACACAUGCUGCACUCCACCCACACCACUGCAACUCCACCCACACAUGCUGCACUCCACCCACACCACUGCAACUCCACCCACACCACUGCAAGAUGGAGGUGACGCCACGACGAUUUCCCAUGUUCUCAAUGCAGACUCCUCCCAGGUCCCUCUGUUCCGUCCACCAAUGUCCAUCAUGAUCCACCCUCCACUUUUGUGAACAGGCCUGGCUUUCAGCAAGGCAAAGAUCUCACCCUCACAUUGGCAACUCACUGAGCGACACAUGACAAACCGCUCAGUUUCUUCACCAGUCUCGUGAGUGACCAUGGAGUGACCUGAGCGACAAACUCACCGAGCCCCACAUGACCAACCAUUCAGUAUCUCUUCAUCAGUUUUGUAUCUAUGGACUGAUCCGAGUGACCAAUGCCGUAAACUCUUACAGAGCUAUGACCAUGGGGAUAAGGAAAUGACCACUUUAAUUAGUAUGAUGCUUGAUGUCACAUCGUAAGUUUUGUUGUGAGUGCAGCCGAGGCUGUUCUGUGUAUGUAAAUGGCCUGUAAAGAUGUCCAGCCUACUUUUAGGGCUUCUAGGAGUGUAUUCAUACAGGCACACAACUGAUGUCCGACAGCAUGGGGGGAGGCUCUCUGAUGCAGUAUGUCUGGCUCAACCAGCACCUCACUGCCCCUUCGUGGAUGAGCUUGGUAGUGCAGUUAAGUGUUGAGUAUUUACUGAUAAGCACAAGCAUAAUAAACCACCAGGCUCUGUACAUUACAAGCAUUUAGUACCAUUGCGUUGAGCAUGGUUAUGUAAAUGGUAGUGUCUAACUGGUUGUGUAAUCACAGAAGUUGUGUGACAAGCAAGAAAAAGUGACCAUGUGUGUGCUUGUAUACAUUUACCUCUGUCCACAACCAAACAAUUCUGGAGGAAAUGGAAGUCAGUCUGUAGUUGGUAAAGCAUCAGUCUUAAUCCCUGAAGUUUCCAAAAUCUCACAGAUUUUGUAUUGGCAUAUUGCAAAGACGGAGAUGGAGCUGGGUGCUGAUUUGCAGUGCCUAGCUCUGUUGGGAGAUCAGUGUGAGAGCCAUUUAAAUGAUUAAUUCCUUUUCAUACAAAGGUGAAAGACAGAGACACAUUUUUACCAAAGCUCUUACUGACACUAAGCACAUCAAGACACAUGGAAGAAGGGUAUGUUUUCUACUUAGUGCAAGAAAUGAGCUUAGCUUGUGCUAAUGUUUAUUAUUUAAGUCUUCAAUAAAGACAGGAUGCACAACUUUGACAUGCACUAAAUGAAUGCAUGGAAUACUGAUGAAUCAUGAUUUUGAAACCGUGUAGACUGAUCUUGGAUCCAGUCUCCAGUGUUGCACUGAAUAACGACAAGACGUUAAAUGAUAGAUGCUCUCAUCUGGCUGCAGUGGGAUCUGUGCUCUCACCCGAUACAAGGCCGGGGGGGGGGGGGGAGCGGACCAGCAGCAGACACGACGGGCUCAUGCAGAAGGUGACAGAACAGGACUAAACCAGAGAGGGAACAGGACCAGACUAGAGACCGAACAGGACUAAACCAGAGAGAGAACAGGACCAGGCCAGAGAGAGAACAUAAUAGAACCAGAGAGAGAACAUAAUAGAACCAGAGAGAGAACAGGACCAGACCAGAGAGUGUGUGUGUGUGUGUGUGUGUGUGCCCUCAGUCUGAUAUGGUCUGGUGUGUGUGUGUGUGUGUGUGUGUGUGUGUGUGUGUGUGUGUGCCCUCAGAGUCUGGGUUGGUCUGGUGGUCUGAGGAGAUAAGUGCACCGACUGACAGCAGUAGCACAUUCACCCAAAAGACUGUGAAAGGAUCUAAUAGGACGCCUCGAUAUCAGGACCCUUUCUGUUUUGUAUGCCAUAGACAGUUACAGAUGAUGAUGAUGAUGAUUAUUGACAACAGAGAAGAUGAUGAUAAUGGUGAUGAUGAUGAUGAUGAUGAUGAUGAUAAAAGUUUGUAAAAAAGUAAAUAAUUCUAAUUUCAAAUGAA